rnacentral:rRNA from 1 species
AUUGAACGCUGGCGGCAGGCCUAACACAUGCAAGUCGGACGAGUUGCGGACGGGUGAGUAAUGUCUGGGAACCUGCCUGAUGGAGGGGGAUAACUACUGGAAACGGUAGCUAAUACCGCAUACCAUCGGAUGUGCCCAGAUGGGAUUAGCUAGUAGGUGGGGUAAAGGCUCACCUAGGCGACGAUCCCGAGCUGGUCUGACAGGAUGACCAGCAACACGUGAAGUGAGACACGGUCCAGACUCCUACGGGAGGCAGCAGUGGGGAAUAUUGCACAAUGGGCGCAAGCUUGAUGCAGUCAUGCCGCGGGUAUUAAGAGGGCCUUCGGGGUGUAAAGUACUUUCAGUGGUGAGGCGUUACCCGCAGAAGAAGCACCGGAUAACUCCGUGCCAGCAGCCGCGGUAAUUC